GCGACUGGAGGCAGAGACCAAGGGGAGAUG
rnacentral:piRNA from 1 species